GUCUCUUCCUUACCCAGAAACAUGAGGACCAGGGCUCCCCCUACCAUGAUCACCGUCUGCAGAGCAUCUGUGUAGAUCACGGCCAUGAGGCCACCUGGGGACCCAAGGAGAGGGCUCAUCAGUCAGCACCAGUUUGGGGUCCUCUCUGGCUGCCUGCCCUGUGCAUGGCCACACUGGGGAGACCAGAGAAGACACACAGCCCUCUUAGCAGGGGAACUCUGGCCACUGCCUUUCUCCGCACCUAGUGUUCCCCUCUCUCCCUCCCCGGCAGGAUGCCAGCUGGUCACAGUCAAAGGUGCUGGGGCCCCUUCUUUCUGUCUUGACAGCAGCUGACUGUGGCCAUCACACCACAGCUUUGUGUUAUUGUUUAAUAUCCCAAGUCCAUUCCUUGACUUGCAGUUCUGCCAGGAAUACUCCCUGCUUUCUCCUCCCAAUGCCCAUCUAAAUGCCCCCCUGUCUCUGGACCCCAACUUAACCAUAAGUAAGGCUGUCCUGUGCUGGCCUCCCAGGGUGCCCAGCCCUGUGCAAGGAGAUUUGGAGGAGGUGGGUUGUGGUCUCUGCCUGGGGCAGCCUGCAGUGACUCUGGCUUGGGUCAUAGUCCUCCUCUCUACCCUGCUCCCCAGGCAGUUAGUCUUUUGUGGUAUUUCUUACUGUCUCUCCUUCCCUGUCUCUGCCUGACCUGUUCCUCCUCCCAUUUCUGCCCUUUUUAUCCCCCUGGUCUCUGUCCCUGUGUCUGUCAUUCUGUUCCCCUGUGUUCUUCUCUUCUACGUCUCUGUCUCAGCCUCUCUUUGUCUCUGCCUCUCCUGUUUCUCCUCUCUGUCAGCAUCAGCUUUCUGUCACUCUGUCUCUCUCUCUGGUUGUCUCUCCUUCAGUCUUUCUCUCUGGGUCUCUGCCAGUCAGAAGCUUUCCUCUUGCCCUCUUCCCUCUGCCUACCUGCAAUGGUGUAGACGGCAGUCACCACCAGCAGGAUCCCUGUGGAGAGGUACAGGUUCCAGCCCAAUGCCAUCUGGAUGAAGAGGGCUCCAGAGAAGAUGUCAGUCUGCAGAGAGCCAGGACCCAAGAGGCCAGACCACCCGAGGCCCUCAGUAGGACACUGAGGCGCCAUGGAGACUUUAAAGCAGAGAAGUACUGUAUAAAGCCUCCAAACUGAGAUAAAUUUAAUCACGUAGCUGGUCUGCUGGACAUGAAGGGAGUGGUGAGGAAUGAAGUGGAAGGCUGAGGAAGUGAAGGAAGGUGCUGGGCUGGAGAAGAAGAGCUCAUUUAGGAGAAGAGAGGAAGAACCGGAGAGUUGCUGGCUGCUCCCUGGCAGAGCAGAGCCUGCUUGGCUGUCAGGUGGCCCACGGCUGACCCAAUGCGGCAGGAGCCCUGGUGCAGAUAGGCAUGGGUCUGGGUCAUCUACAUACUUGGGUUUAUUAGCAGACAUGGGCUUAUAGCCUGAGCUUAAGCUGACUUAGGAUGUUCUCAAAUAUUGGUGGAACAAGGGCCUUAAAGUGUUUUUCAGCCCUAGACCUGGCAACGGAGUGAUUCAGUUCUCUUUAGUGUAUGCUUGUGGAUACCAUUCCAUGAUUGUUUUGUGAACCUGUUACAGGGUCUAAAACAUAACAGAGUGGAAGGAGCCUGGACUGGGUCAUGGAACCCACACUUCAGCUUCAGUUCUAGAGCUAGCCCUCUGUGUGGGCUUGGGCAAGUCAUUUGACCUGUCUAGGUUUGUUUCCUGAUUUUAGGUCAGUAGAGGAGGACUAAAGACCUUUCUAACUCCAAAAAUCUAGGCAACUAAUGUACAGUUGAUGAACAAAGAAUCCAUUAAUGAAAAAAUAAAUGAAUGAACUCUGGAUUGUGAUUUAUUUGAGUGUAGGGGCUGUCAUUCACUCCAAAAACAUUUAUCAUUCAUCUCUGAGUACCCCAGUGCUGAGGCAGAACAUGCAUUAAAUGUUUAUAGGUCCUGCUUUCCUUUUUUUCAACAGUGAUUGUCAGCUUCCCCUCAGCAACACGCACAUGGUGAUGCACUCAGCAGUUCCCUAAUUAGCAUUUCCAGACACAGUGACCACAUUGCAGUGACACCUACCGAGAUCUUGGUGAAGAUGUAGAGGAUGAGAGACAGGACAGACAUGUACACCUGGAUCCUCUGGCCCCCAAAUCGCUUCUUCAGAUACUGCGGCA
rnacentral:lncRNA from 1 species